rnacentral:rRNA from 1 species
UACGGAGGAUCCAAGCGUUAUCCGGAAUCAUUGGGUUUAAAGGGUCCGUAGGCGGCCUAGCAAGUCAGUGGUGAAAUCUCCCCGCUCAACGGGGAAACGGCCAUUGAUACUACUGGGCUUGAAUUAUUAGGAAGUAACUAGAAUAUGUAGUGUAGCGGUGAAAUGCUUAGAUAUUACAUGGAAUACCAAUUGCGAAGGCAGGUUACUACUAAUUGAUUGACGCUGAUGGACGAAAGCGUGGGGAGCGAACAGG